rnacentral:rRNA from 1 species
UACGGGGGGGGGCAAGCGUUGUUCGGAAUUACUGGGCGUAAAGAGCGCGUAGGCGGUUGGAUAAGUCAGCUGUGAAAACCACGGGCUUAACUCGUGGCCUGCAGUUGAGACUGUCUGGCUUGAGUGUGGGAGAGGAGAGUGGAAUUCCUGGUGUAGCGGUGAAAUGCGUAGAUAUCAGGAAGAACACCCGUGGCGAAAGCGGCUCUCUGGAACGGUACUGACGCUGAGACGCGAAAGCGUGGGGAGCGAACAGGAUU